rnacentral:rRNA from 1 species
UACGUAGGGGGCUAGCGUUGUCCGGAUUUAUUGGGCGUAAAGAGCGUGUAGGCGGCCAGGUAGGUCUGGUGUGAAAACUCGAGGCUUAACCUUGAGAUGUCAUCGGAAACCAUUUGGCUAGAGUCCGGAAGAGGAAAGUGGGAAUUCCUGGUGUAGCGGUGAAAUGCGCAGAUAUCAGGAAGAACACCAAUGGCGAAAGCAGCUUUCUGGGACGGUACUGACGCU